rnacentral:lncRNA from 1 species
CCGCUGCUGCAGCCCGCGGUCCCCAGGGCACGGGCACCGCCCAGCCCGCUGCGGAGACCGGGGGACCGUAGCGGCCGCUUACUGAGUGGGGGGGGGGGGGGUCCGUCGGUGAAGCGGGAAAACACGCCCCCCCCCUCGGUGCGGCCGCAGUGGACCGGCCCAGGGAAAAAGGGAACGCGAGGCCCCUCCCGUCACCACGCGCGGCUGCUCGGGUCGCGCAUGCGCGCGGCGGGGGCGGAGCCUGCGGGCCAGGCGGCGGGAGCGGGCCUCGGGCGCUCUGGCCGGGGUCUCGGGGCCUUGGGCACAGAAGAGCGGAGUGUCGGCGCCUGCUGCCCGACGGGACCCGAGGUAACGCCGCAGGCCGGCUUCUCCCCGCCUGGCCCGAGCCCCUCUCCCGCCUGGGCCGUCGGAGCGAGCCCGCCCCGCCCCCGGAGUCCUGACGACCGCGCGCCGCGACGUGCCCCGCCUCUACCGUCCUCCCGGGGCGGGGCCUGUGGUCCGCGCGGCCCGCGCGCUCGGUUCCGGCCGCCCGGGGAGCACCGCAGGGCGUCGGGAGAGCGACGGGAGUGAGCGUGCGUGGAAGUUGGUCCCGAGGAGGAGGAAGCUUUCGGAGCCCCGGUGCCGCCCCGAUGCGACCUGAACGCGCUUCCGAGGCACGGCUGAGUGGGCCCGCGGGGCUGGAGGCGGAGCGGCGUGGGGCCCCGUCCGCCGUCCUGGUCCGGGGUGCUGCGGCGGCGGCCUCGUGCGCGCGUUUCAUGGCAUUGGGAUUGGAGCUUGUCUUUCCUCGUGACUUUCCUGGCCAUUUCCCUGGGAAUCCUGUUCUGCCACUGCUGCUGAAGUGCCCAGUGUCUGCCGUCUUCCGUGGAAUCCUUAUUGUGGCUCACAAGAUCUCUUAGAAUGCCCAUGUCUAUUCUGGGACUCUGAGGUGCUUAGCCUUAAUUACUGAGAAGGAAAAUACAUCAGGAGUUGUUUCAGAACUAUUAUCCCCAAUACGUCAUUUUGGUUAAAGUUCUUAUACUUAGUUUUAGAUAUAUAGUCAUGUGCUGCAUAACAACGUUUCAGGCAACGACGGACCACAUACAUGAUGGUGGUCCUAUAAGAUUAGUACCACAGAGCCUGGGUGUGUAGUAGGCUGGACCGUCCAGGUUUGUGGAAGUGCACUCUAUGAUGUUUGCACAAUGAUGAAAUCACCUAACGAUGCAUUUCUCAGAAUGCACCCCCGUCGUUAAUCGAUGCAUAACUGUACCUGUACUGAUUUCUGAUCAAGUAUGAUUUUGCUGAAAAUUAUACUUUUCAUGCAAAAUAUUUCUCCCUUAUACAAUUAAUUGCAGUAUAAAACUGGUAGGGAAAACAUCAAGCAUUUGGAAUUAAAAAGUUUGAGACAUCAUGUUCUAAACAGUAAUGCCAUCUUUUUCAUUUACAUAGAUAUUCUGGGUGAAGAACAUUAAAUUCCUUGCUAUAAAGGAAUGUUUUCCCUGUGAAAAGUGAUUUCUGUAAUGCUAAUGUGAGAGAGAAAUACAUUAGUUUUGUUGACUUUGGAGAAUCUGAACUGAGAUACCUUAAAAUUUAAUUUGUUAAAUAUUUGGAUUGACUAUGUAUAUAUGUGAUUGCAUUCAAAACAUACACAGCAUUUACUUAGCUAUACCAAUAGAUCCUUUCCCCAAAUAACUAACUUAACCUUGGAGAAAUCUCAUAAGUCUCAAAGGUAGAAUAUAAUAUGUUGACCUAUUUUCAUGGUUUCACUUCAUUUUCUAUUC